AGUGAACGCUGGCGGUAGGCUUAACACAUGCAAGUCGAACGGCAGCACAGUAAGAGUUUGCUCUUACGGGUGGCGAGUGGAGGCCGGGUGAGGAAUACAUCGGAAUCUACUUUUUCGUGGGGGAUAACGUAGGGAAACUUACGCUAAUACCGCAUACGACCUACGGGUGAAAGCAGGGGAUCUUCGGACCUUGCGCGAUUGAAUGAGCCGAUGUCGGAUUAGCUAGUUGGCGGGGUAAAGGCCCACCAAGGCGACGAUCCGUAGCCGGUCUGAGAGGAUGGUCAGCCACCUUGGAGCAGGAACAGGCUCCAGACUCCUACGAGAGGCAGCAGAGGGAAAUAUAGGACAAUGGGCGCAAGCCUGAACCAGCCAUACCGCGUGGGUUAAGAAGGCCUUCGGGUUGUAAAGCCCUUUUGUGGGGAAAGAAAAGCAGCAGGUUAAUACCCCGCUGUUCUGACGGUACCCAAAGAAUAAGCACCGGCUAACUUCGUG
rnacentral:rRNA from 1 species